AGAGUUUGAUCAUGGCUCAGGACGAACGCUGGCGGCGUGCCUAAUACAUGCAAGUCGAACGCUUCUUUUUCCACCGGAGCUUGCUCCACCGGAAAAAGAGGAGUGGCGAACGGGUGAGUAACACGUGGGUAACCUGCCCAUCAGAAGGGGAUAACACUUGGAAACAGGUGCUAAUACCGUAUAACAAUCGAAACCGCAUGGUUUUGAUUUGAAAGGCGCUUUCGGGUGUCGCUGAUGGAUGGACCCGCGGUGCAUUAGCUAGUUGGUGAGGUAACGGCUCACCAAGGCCACGAUGCAUAGCCGACCUGAGAGGGUGAUCGGCCACAUUGGGACUGAGACACGGCCCAAACUCCUACGGGAGGCAGCAGUAGGGAAUCUUCGGCAAUGGACGAAAGUCUGACCGAGCAACGCCGCGUGAGUGAAGAAGGUUUUCGGAUCGUAAAACUCUGUUGUUAGAGAAGAACAAGGAUGAGAGUAACUGUUCAUCCCUUGACGGUAUCUAACCAGAAAGCCACGGCUAACUACGUGCCAGCAGCCGCGGUAAUACGUAGGUGGCAAGCGUUGUCCGGAUUUAUUGGGCGUAAAGCGAGCGCAGGCGGUUUCUUAAGUCUGAUGUGAAAGCCCCCGGCUCAACCGGGGAGGGUCAUUGGAAACUGGGAGACUUGAGUGCAGAAGAGGAGAGUGGAAUUCCAUGUGUAGCGGUGAAAUGCGUAGAUAUAUGGAGGAACACCAGUGGCGAAGGCGGCUCUCUGGUCUGUAACUGACGCUGAGGCUCGAAAGCGUGGGGAGCAAACAGGAUUAGAUACCCUGGUAGUCCACGCCGUAAACGAUGAGUGCUAAGUGUUGGAGGGUUUCCGCCCUUCAGUGCUGCAGCUAACGCAUUAAGCACUCCGCCUGGGGAGUACGACCGCAAGGUUGAAACUCAAAGGAAUUGACGGGGGCCCGCACAAGCGGUGGAGCAUGUGGUUUAAUUCGAAGCAACGCGAAGAACCUUACCAGGUCUUGACAUCCUUUGACCACUCUAGAGAUAGAGCUUCCCCUUCGGGGGCAAAGUGACAGGUGGUGCAUGGUUGUCGUCAGCUCGUGUCGUGAGAUGUUGGGUUAAGUCCCGCAACGAGCGCAACCCUUAUUGUUAGUUGCCAUCAUUCAGUUGGGCACUCUAGCAAGACUGCCGGUGACAAACCGGAGGAAGGUGGGGAUGACGUCAAAUCAUCAUGCCCCUUAUGACCUGGGCUACACACGUGCUACAAUGGGAAGUACAACGAGUCGCGAAGUCGCGAGGCUAAGCUAAUCUCUUAAAGCUUCUCUCAGUUCGGAUUGCAGGCUGCAACUCGCCUGCAUGAAGCCGGAAUCGCUAGUAAUCGCGGAUCAGCACGCCGCGGUGAAUACGUUCCCGGGCCUUGUACACACCGCCCGUCACACCACGAGAGUUUGUAACACCCGAAGUCGGUGAGGUAACCUUUUGGAGCCAGCCGCCUAAGGUGGGAUAGAUGAUUGGGGUGAAGUCGUAACAAGGUAACCGU
rnacentral:rRNA from 1 species